AACGAACGCUGGCGGCGCGUCUUAAGCAUGCAAGUCGAACGGCAAGAGAGAAGCUUGCUUCUCUCCUAGAGUGGCGGACUGGUGAGGAACACGUGGGUAAUCUACCCUUAAGAUGGGGAUAGCUGCUAGAAAUAGCAGGUAAUACCGAAUACACUCAGUUUUUCAUAAGAAGGAUUGAGGAAAGGAAGCUACGGCUUCGCUUGAGGAUGAGCUUGCGUCCCAUUAGCUUGUUGGUGAGGUAACGGCCCACCGAGGCGACGAUGGGUAUCCGGCCUGAGAGGGUGAUCGGACACAUUGGGACUGAGAUACGGCCCAAACUCCUACGGGAGGCAGCAGCUAAGAAUAUUCCGCAAUGGACGAAAGUCUGACGGAGCGACGCCGCGUGGAUGAAGAAGGCUGAAAAGUUGUAAAAUCCUUUUGUUGAUGAAGAAUAAGGGUGAGAGGGAAUGUUCAUCUGAUGACGGUAAUCAGCGAAUAAGCCCCG
rnacentral:rRNA from 1 species